rnacentral:rRNA from 1 species
GACGAACCGUGCGAACGUUAUUCGGAAUCACUGGGCUUAAAGCGCGUGUAGGCGGGGUGGCACGUCGGUCGCUGAAAGCCUCCGGCUCAACCGGGGAAGGGGCGCCGAUACGACCACCCUGGAGGGACGUAGGGGGACCUGGAACUUCCGGUGGAGCGGUGAAAUGCGUUGAGAUCGGAAGGAACGCCCGUGGCGAAAGCGAGGUCCUGGACGUUUACUGACGCUGAGACGCGAAAGCCAGGGGAGCGAACGGG